GGCGCAUCCGAACAGAGAAAAAAAAACCUGCUAAUGUCCAAACCAGGGUUGUUAACGUUAAUCAACGAUCAACGCCGUUAACGUUAAAUUGUUUGUUGGUCAACGUUAACACCGUUGCGUUGAUUUCCACUGUAGUUAGCGUCAACGUCAACGGGUUGCGUUUAAUUAACGUUAACGGGUAUCGCUAAUCGAACGUUGAUUAUCAGCUGGAGCUGCGGGGAAUUUUUUUGUUAUUUCCGUAAACAAAUCGUUUCUAUGCAUGUCCGUUUCUAAGGAAAAUUCAUCAUUCUGCAUUCAACAGUCAGCUUGAUUGUACCGAUCUGUCAUACGUUUUCGCUGUAUUUCCAAUCAGAAGGUGGCUUCCGUCGUCUCAAUCCAGUACUCAAGUGGCUCCAAGUCACGACACGCGCCGAUCCGUAAAAUUUCAGCACUAGGAUAUUGGAACGGGAUCGUUGAGUGGUCAUCAACAAGACCGAUAAUGGUAUACCUAUAAACCGAGUUCUCGAUUGGAUAAACGACGACGCCGAUCUCAAGUGUGCCGCUUACGUCUUCCAGAUGGUGUCUCCUGUUGACCGACAGAAAUUGAUCUGGUAGAAAGUAUCCAAAAAUCAGUAUGAACAUGAAACGAAAAACUCCCUGAUCACGCUGCUUCAUCAAGGAUCAAUUCAUGUACCUACCUAAGUACUGUAUGAACCAGGAAUAACUUUCAGUUUGUUUUAAUUCAAGGCCAUGUUUUCAACAACACUUCGUAUUGCAGGCAGUUCUUGUCUGUAAAAGUAUAUUACUCUUAAAAGACAACGAUGGAUGAGGCACCCACUUUCUAUGGCACUUGUUGAGCACUUCGAAAUACAUACAUCAGCUUUUUAUAAUGUAUUAUAUAAUAAAUAAAUAUUUAUUGAGGUUACAUUGA